UGGAUGUCUAGUGUCCCUUAUGGCUCUAAUAUGAUAAUGGCAGUAGGGUGGUGGAUGUCUAGUGUCCCUUAUGGCUCUAAUCUGAUAAUGGUAGUGGGGGGUGGCAGAUUCCUAGUGUCCCUUAUGGCUCUAAUCUGAUAGUGGUAGUGGGGUGGUAGAUUCCUAGUGUCCCUUAUGGCUCUAAUCUGAUAGUGGUAGUGGGGUGGUAGAUUCCUAGGGUCCCUUAUGGCUCUAAUAGGAUAGUGGUAGUGGGGGGUGGUAGAUUCCUACUGUCCCUUAUGGCUCUAAUCUGAUAGUGGUAGUGGGGUGGUAGAUUCCUAGUGUCCCUUAUUGCUCUAAUCUGAUAGUGGUAGUGGGGUGGUAGAGUCCUAGUGUCCCUUAUGGCUCUAAUCUGAUAGUGGUAGUGGGGGGUGGCAGAUUCCUAGUGUCCCUUAUGGCUCUAAUCUGAUAGUGGUAGUGGGGUGGUAGAUUCCUAGUGUCCCUUGUGGCUCUAAUA
ensembl:lncRNA